UAGGGAAUCUUCGGCAAUGGGGGGAACCCUGACCGAGCAACGCCGCGUGAGUGAAGAAGGUUUUCGGAUCGUAAAGCUCUGUUGUUAAGGAAGAACGAGUGUGAGAAUGGAAAGUUCAUGCUGUGACGGUACUUAACCAGAAAGGGACGGCUAACUACGUGCCAGCAGCCGCGGUAAUACGUAGGUCCCGAGCGUUGUCCGGAUUUAUUGGGCGUAAAGCGAGCGCAGGCGGUUAGAAAAGUCUGAAGUGAAAGGCAGUGGCUCAACCAUUGUAGGCUUUGGAAACUGUUUAACUUGAAUGCAGAAGGGGAGGGUGGAAUUCCAUGUGUAGCGGUGAAAUGCGUAGAUAUAUGGAGAAACACCAGUGGCGAAGGCGACUCUCUGGUCUGUAACUGACGCUGAGGCUCGAAAGCGUGGGUAGCAAACAGG
rnacentral:rRNA from 1 species